rnacentral:rRNA from 1 species
AGAGUUUGAUCCUGGCUCAGAAUCAACGCUGGCGGCGUGCCUAACACAUGCAAGUCGAACGAGAAAGUGGAGCAAUCCAUGAGUAAAGUGGCGACCGGGUGAGUAACACGUGACUAACCUACCCUCGAGUGUGGAAUAACAUCGGGAAACCGAUGCUAAUACCGCAUAACAUCGCAAGAUCAAAGGAGCAAUCCGCUUGAGGAGGGGGUCGCGGCUGAUUAGCUAGUUGGCGGGGUAACGGCCCACCAAGGCGAAGAUCGGUAGCCGGCCUGAGAGGGCGCACGGCCACACUGGAACUGAAACACGGUCCAGACUCCUACGGGAGGCAGCAGUGGGGAAUUUUGCGCAAUGGGGGAAACCCUGACGCAGCAACGCCGCGUGGAGGAUGAAGCCCCUUGGGGCGUAAACUCCUUC